GUCACAGUGACUGAACUGAUACUGCAGCUGCUCACACACUUUCACACACUUUCACACACACUCAACCAACAAAAAUGACUUUCAGCACCAUAUUGAUCUGGACGCUGGCAGUAUUAUGUCGAGAAUCUGUUGGUCAGGUGACAGUGACUCAAACUCCCUCAGAGCUGCUCUCUCAAACUGGACAAUCAGUCACUGUAAACUGUAAAUUUAAUAGUGAUCCAGUCUCCUGGUGUAGUGGACAGUGUCUUGGCUGGUACUUACAGAAACCUGGAGAAACUCCUAAACUCCUGAUUUAUAGUGCAAAAACCCUCCAGUCAGGAACUCCAUCUAGAUUCAGUGGCAGUGGAUCUAACAGUGAUUUCACUCUGACCAUCAGUGGAGUCCAGACUGAAGAUGCUGGACAUUAUUACUGUCCGAGUUAUCACUACAUCAACAGUAAAUGGAUGUUCACACAGUGAUAAAGAGUCGUACAAAAACCUCCGUCAGUCAGAGUCACAGUGACUGUAGAGUUGUGACGUUCGCGAACGAACCGAUUCUUUUGAACGGCUCAUAAACAUGAACGAUGGGAGCCGAGUCGCGGCUGGAGGGGAGCCGUUCUUUCUGUCGUUCUUUUUUCCUAUGCGUGUUUCACACAGAUGCACACAAAUGAGCUCCUCCGCGAGACAGAACAGUUAUAGGGGGAGGGGCGCACCCAGCGCAGAUAUUAGUUAUUAGUUGAGCACGCAUCCUUCACGUGAGUACUCCAGUGGAAAAAAACCCUGCGUUCCUCUGUCAUUGGGUAGGAGCGGAAGUUGAAGGGGCUGAUGUCCUAUUUGCAAAGUUUACAGUAGUAAUAGUAUGUAGUAUGUAGACAUUUCCAUUUUAUUUAUUCUAAUUUUAUCUACUUUAAAUAUUUUUUGUUUUCUAUCAAAAUGUUCUUGUGUGAUAACAAUGUUCUUGUGUGGAAGUGUUUGUAGUAAAAGCUGUUUUGCACAGAAAUUCAUUGUAGCCGGCUUUGUUUUUGAUGUUUAUUUGUGAGUAGGUAUUGUAUGAAUAACAAAAGUCAACGUAGCUUUACACACACACACACACACACACACACACACACACACUUUGUACUAAAGGUAAAUCCAAAAUAGUGAUGUCACUCUCUAAGCAGAGGGAUUUGUGCAACCCUAUGGAAUAUAGUCCACACAUGACAAAUGAGGUAAUAAUCAAUAUUUCAGAAUAAUUCAAACUCAGAUAUUGGUGUGUGAUAUCCGAGUUUUAAUUAUUUGACUACAAAUCUCACCUCAUCAUUCCUCCCAGUGAUUAUUUCCAGGAUAAACUGAGAUGCCCCCAAGCUGGCUUCUUAAAACUGACUAAAUAUUUAAAAAGAGCCAAAAGAGCCGUUCUUUUGAACGGCUCUUUGAAAGGAACGGAUCGCGAAGAUCCGGAUCCCCUCAAAGAGCCAUAAAUCCCAUCACUAAGUGACUGAACUGAUACUGCAGCUGCUCACACACUUUCACACACUUUCACACACUACUGACACACAGAGGACAAACACAGGAACUACACAUGUGCUCAAAACUGACUUAUGACUGAAAUCAGCUCUAUUAGACUGUGAUCUGUCCUGUGACAGACGGGUUU